UCUGUAUUUAUAAUAAUUUAUUCUACAACACAGGCAGCUGGAAGAGCCAGAGAUUGUUAAAUAUGCCACAGAGAUAGCAACAGAAGAUUCAAUUUAUAUGCAAACGACUUGAAACUUCAUGUAACAAAGUGUUUCUAAUAUUAUUAUGAUCUCGACAAAAGCCCUUGAUUCUUUAGGGAAAAACAGAGUGGCAGGUUGCUGGGGAAAGUUGCUAAUAGUUGUUUGCAACUAUGUAAGACCACAUAUGGUAUACUGGAAAAGUGGCCAGAAUUAUUCACAUUUCGUUAUAUUAAUGCCCUUAGCAGAAUGACUUUGCAGGUCUUUUCUUUAACAGGUAGAGAUUCUUUCCUUACCUUGAAUCUAAACUGGUCUGGUGACUUGCUUUGGCUGCUAGAAUGAGGCAGAAGUGAUGUUCUAGUAGUUCCUAGCUUCGGAUUCAAGAGGCCUUGCAUGCAUGCCUCUGCUUGCUUUCUUGGACUUUUGCAAACUUCGUAUGAAUAAGCCAGACUAGCUUCCUGGAAGACCAGAGAUCACUUGGAUCAGAAUUGGUCAUCUGGUUGAUCCCAGCCAAAGUCUAAAACAUGUGAAAGAGCCUAUGCAAGCUCAGUGAAAUCAAACCUCAACAAACCUUCAGCUAACCCCCAGCUGACUGUAGCAGGUACAUAACUGAGGCUACCCUAGAUUUGCCAAGCCCACACUGGGUCAAUGACUCAUUAGCAAAAUAAAUGUUCAGGCUGGGUGCAGUGGCUUAUACCUGUAAUCCCGGCACUUUGGGGGGCCAA
rnacentral:lncRNA from 1 species